GCGCCCUUAGCUCAGUUGGUAGAGCAUCUGACUUUUAAUCAGGUGGUCGCUGGUUCGAGUCCAGCAGGGCGCA
rnacentral:tRNA from 1 species